AUUGAACGCUGGCGGUAGGCCUAACACAUGCAAGUCGAACGAGUGGCGGACGGGUGAGGAAUGCAUGGGAAUCUGCUUUGUGGAGGGGGAUAACUACUGGAAACUUUAGCUAAUACCGCAUACAAUUGACUGUGCCGAGAUCGGAUUAGCUAGUUGGCGGGGUAACGGCCCACCAAGGCGACGAUCAGUAGCUGGUCUGAGAGGAUGACCAGCCACACUGGAACGGAGACACGGUCCAGACUCCUACGGGAGGCAGCAGUGGGGAAUAUUGGACAAUGGGCGCAAGCCUGAUCCAGCCAUGCAGCGUGGGUGAAGAAGGCCUUCGGGUUGUAAAGCCCUUUUAGUGGGAAAGCGGUACCCAAAGAAUAAGCACCGGCUAACUUCGUGCCAGCAGCCGCGGUAAUUC
rnacentral:rRNA from 1 species